AAAAAAGGUAAGCUACUAAGAGCGAAUGGUGGAUGCCUUGACUGGUAAAGGCGAUGAAGGACGUACUAGACUGCGAUAAGCUACGGGGAGCUGUCAAGAAGCUUUGAUCCGUAGAUUUCCGAAUGGGGCAACCCAAUGUAUAGAGAUAUACAUUACCUAUAUAGGAGCGAACGAGGGGAAUUGAAACAUCUUAGUACCCUCAGGAAAAGAAAUCAAUAGAGAUUGCGUCAGUAGCGGCGAGCGAAAGCGCAAGAGGGCAAACCCAGUGCUUGCACUGGGGGUUGUAGGACUGCAAUGUGCAAGAGGUGAGUUUAGCAGAACAUUCUGGAAAGUAUAGCCAUAGAGGGUGAUAGUCCCGUAUGCGAAAAACAAACCUUAGCUAGCAGUAUCCUGAGUAGGGCGGGACACGAGAAAUCCUGUCUGAAGCUGGGUCGACCACGAUCCAACCCUAAAUACUAAUACCAGAUCGAUAGUGCACAAGUACCGUGAGGGAAAGGUGAAAAGAACUGAGGUGAUCAGAGUGAAAUAGAACCUGAAACCAUUUGCUUACAAUCAUUCAGAGCACUAUGUAGCAAUACAGUGUGAUGGACUGCCUUUUGCAUAAUGAGCCUGCGAGUUGUGGUGUCUGGCAAGGUUAAGCAAACGCGAAGCCGUAGCGAAAGCGAGUCUGAAUAGGGCGCUUAGUCAGAUGCUGCAGACCCGAAACGAAGUGAUCUAUCCAUGAGCAAGUUGAAGCUAGUGUAAGAACUAGUGGAGGACUGAACCCAUAGGCGUUGAAAAGCCCCGGGAUGACUUGUGGAUAGGGGUGAAAGGCCAAUCAAACUUCGUGAUAGCUGGUUCUCUCCGAAAUAUAUUUAGGUAUAGCGUUGUGUCGUAAUAUAAGGGGGUAGAGCACUGAAUGGGCUAGGGCAUACACCAAUGUACCAAACCCUAUCAAACUCCGAAUACCUUAUAUGUAAUCACAGCAGUCAGGCGGCGAGUGAUAAAAUCCGUCGUCAAGAGGGAAACAACCCAGACUACCAGCUAAGGUCCCUAAAUCUUACUUAAGUGGAAAACGAUGUGAAGUUACUUAAACAACCAGGAGGUUGGCUUAGAAGCAGCCAUCCUUUAAAGAAAGCGUAAUAGCUCACUGGUCUAGUGAUUUUGCGCGGAAAAUAUAACGGGGCUAAAGUAAGUACCGAAGCUGUAGACUUGAUUUUAUCAAGUGGUAGGAGAGCGUUCUAUUUGCGCCGAAGGUAUACCGGUAAGGAGUGCUGGAGCGAAUAGAAGUGAGCAUGCAGGCAUGAGUAGCGAUAAUUAAUGUGAGAAUCAUUAACGCCGUAAACCCAAGGUUUCCUACGCGAUGCUCGUCAUCGUAGGGUUAGUCGGGUCCUAAGUCGAGUCCGAAAGGGGUAGACGAUGGCAAAUUGGUUAAUAUUCCAAUACCAACAUUAGUGUGCGAUGGAAGGACGCUUAGGGCUAAGGGGGCUAGCGGAUGGAAGUGCUAGUCUAAGGUCGUAGGAGGUUAUACAGGCAAAUCCGUAUAACAAUACUCCGAGAACUGAAAGGCUUUUUGAAGUCUUCGGAUGGAUAGAAGAACCCCUGAUGCCGUCGAGCCAAGAAAAGUUUCUAAGUUUAGCUAAUGUUGCCCGUACCGUAAACCGACACAGGUGGGUGGGAUGAGUAUUCUAAGGCGCGUGGAAGAACUCUCUUUAAGGAACUCUGCAAAAUAGCACCGUA
rnacentral:rRNA from 1 species